rnacentral:tRNA from 1 species
GGCUGUAGCUCAGCCGCAGAGUGCUUGCCUAGCAUGCAUGGGGCACUGGGUUCGAUCCUCAGCACCA